GAUGCGACCUCAGCUCAGGCGGGGCCACCCGCUGAGUUUAAGCAUAUCAAUAAGCGGAGGAAAGA
rnacentral:rRNA from 1 species